CUGCGCUCUACGGAGGGGGUCGGGGUCGUCGUGGUGGUGGUGGGGGCAGGGGUCGUCGUGGUGGUGGGGGGCAGGGGUCGUCGUGGUGGUGGUGGGGGGGGGGUGGUCGUCGUCGUGGUGGGGGCAGGGGUCGUCGUCGUGGUGGGGGGCAGGGGUCGUCGUCGUGGUGGGGGCAGGGGUCGUCGUGGUGGGGGCAGGGGUCGUCGUCGUGGUGGGGGCAGGGGUCGUCGUCGUGGUGGGGGCAGGGGUCGUCGUCGUGGUGGGGGGGCAGGGGUCGUCGUCCGUGGUGGGGGGGGCAGGGGUCGUCGUCGUGGUGGGGGCAGGGGUCGUCGUCGUCGUGGUGGGGGCAGGGGUCGUCGUCGUGGUGGGGGGCAGGGGUCGUCGUGGUGGGGGCAGGGGUCGUCGUGGUGGGGGCAGGGGUCGUCGUGGUGGGGGGCAGGGGUCGUCGUGGUGGGGGCAGGGGUCGUCGUGGUGGGGGCAGGGGUCGUCGUGGUGGGGGGCAGGGGUCGUCGUGGUGGGGGCAGGGGCGGUCGUGGUGGGGGCAGGGGUCGUCGUGGUGGGGGCAGGGGUCGCCGUGGUGGGGGCAGGGGUCGUCGUGGUGGGGGCAGGGGUCGUCGUGGUGGGGGCAGGGGUCGUCGUGGUGGGGGCAGGGGUCGUCGUGGUGGGGGCAGGGGUCGUCGUGGUGGGGGGCAGGGGUCGUCGUGGUGGGGGCAGGGGUCGUCGUGGUGGGGGCAGGGGUCGUCGUGGUGGGGGCAGGGGUCGUCGUGGUGGGGGCAGGGGUCGUCGUGGUGGGGGCAGGGGUCGUCGUGGUGGGGGGCAGGGGUCGUCGUGGUGGGGGCAGGGGUCGUCGUGGUGGGGGCAGGGGUCGUCGUGGUGGGGGGCAGGGGUCGUCGUGGUGGGGGCAGGGGCUCGUGGUGGGGGGGGCAGGGGUCGUCGUGGUGGGGGCAGGGGUCGUCGUGGUGGGGGCAGGGGUCGUCGUGGUGGGGGCAGGGGUCGUCGUGGUGGGGGCAGGGGUCGUCGUGGUGGGGGCAGGGGUCGCCGUGGUGGGGGCAGGGGUCGUCGUGGUGGGGGCAGGGGUCGUCGUGGUGGGGGCAGGGGUCGUCGUGGUGGGGGGCAGGGGUCGUCGUGGUGGGGGCAGGGGUCGUCGUGGUGGGGGCAGGGGUCGUCGUGGUGGGGGCAGGGGUCGUCGUGGUGGAAGGAGUGUUGGUCGUCGUCGUGGUGGAGGCAGGGGUCGUCGUGGUGGAGGCAGGGGUCGUCGUGGUGGAGGCAGGGGUCGUCGUGGUGGAGGCAGGGGUCGUCGUGGUGGAGGCAGGGGUCGUCGUGGUGGAGGCAGGGGUCUGUGUGGUGGAGGCAGGGGGUCGCUCGUGGUGGAGGCAGGGGUCGCUGGUCGUGGUGGAGGCAGGGGUCGUCGUGGUGGGAGUGGUGGAAGGAGUGUUGGUCGUCGUCGUGGUUGAGGCAACACUGGUCGUCGUUGAGCCCGCGCUCGUGGUGGAAGGAGUGUUAGACGUGGUGGAGGGGGGGGCUGGUCGUUGUGGUGAAAGCCAUGCUGGUUGUUGUGGAGGAGGGGGCGCUGGUCAAUGUGGUGGAGGAGGGGGCGCUAGGCGUUGUUGA
ensembl:lncRNA